CUGGGGACCCGCGCCCGCCCGCCCCUCGGGGACCGCCCUCCCCUCGCGCCGACGCGAGCCCCUUAGGAAACUUAACUUCGCGUCUUUCCCAGAAAUGGGUCUCUUCCUGUUUGGGAAGAAGAGUCUUCCCGAAAUCUUAGGGCGGUGGACUUCACGCACACGCAGAAGAGGUUUUGUUUUGGUUUUUUAAUUCCCGGCGUUCGAGAUUGAUGAGCCUUAGUGGAAGUUCAGUUAACAAGGGCUCUCUCCUUGGAGUCGCAAGACCUGUGGUCUGAAAGCGCCGGCUUAAGUGAGAUAGCAACGUCAAUCCUCUAUUUCCACUGAUGCUGAACUCACAGAAACUGUGUAAACACACACAAGUUCAUUGUGAAUGAGGAAAAUCUGUGUUCAGUUCUAGGAAUCUCCCACGGACGGCCAGAAGUUCUACACAGACCCACGUUCAGCCUUCCGUGCCUAGAGAACAGCCAGACUAUUCCAUGCUGAUACGGCAACCUCCCUGACAGAGUGCCCCCCGAUGUUUCUCAAGAAAAAGAUAAUUUUAGGGGCGCCUGGGUGGCUCAGUUGGUUAAGUGACUGCCUUCGGCUCAGAUCAUGGU